UCAGUAGUACAUUUGGGGUCUCGUCGGAAGGCGCGUCAGUCCAGAGUCAACCGUAGACGGCUGUUCUUACGACGGAUGUGACAAGGCCGUUUUUUUUACUCUAUCUCCUCUCCUCAACGUUCUCUUCUCUCUUUCUCAACGUUUUCCUUUUCCUUUUUUUUUUUUUCUUUUACCUUUUUCCCCCCGUAAAACAACCCAUCGUCGCGCCGAUACGAGAUCGUACGUAUCAAUUGUGAGAUAUCGUUUAUCGUGAAACCGAUCAUUAUUCAUCCGUUGAGAUAUUUCGGCGGCAAACGAGAAUAAGGACGAAAAAAGGCCGCGAAUUCGUGACGAUGAUCGUGAAAAGUGUGACAGUGCGCGAGCUCGGUUAAUAUCAAAAACGCAUUAAGAGAAAAUCACGGAUUUCAAGAGAACGUUUCGCCGUUCGCGUGAAAAUAAGAAACAAAGACAGAGAGCGAGAAAACGAGAGAAAGAGAGAGAGAGAGAGAGAGAGAGAGAGAGAGAGAGAGAGAGAGAGAGUAGUUAGAAAAGAAAAUGGCAGAAAGCGGAAAUGACAGGGGCAGUCGUGAAACUCGAGUGUCAUAAGAAGAGUGUAGAUCGCGUGGGAUCGAAAGAAAGGGAAAUGGAAGCAAUGAAACUUCUACGUGAAUCGUCGUUUUAUCCACCGCAGCAUCCACCUCCCGUUCUUAUUACUGGACGACCGCCAUUCUCCUUGAGUCCUUGUUGCUGCUGUUUCUCUAACCGACUUUCUUUGUCGACCACUUUACGUUGCAUAAAGGGAUAAGAAAGGGUGGAUAAAGAAAAAGGGAAAUAUAUCAAAAGAAAGUGAUUUAUAUUUUUCUCCUUAAAACCUUUGUUCUAGACGAUUUUCUUUUAAAGCAAGAAAAAUUGAAGUUUUACGUAUUUGAAGAUUGGCAGCAAGCAAAAAAAAGAAAAGAAAGAAAAAGAAAGAAGAGGAAGAGGGAGGGAGAGGGAGAGAGAGAGAGAGAAAGAGAGAGAGUAAAAGUGAGACAGAGAAAAAAAACUCGAAAUAGAACAAGUGAUUAUAUAAGAAAAGGAAGUAUAUAUAGAUUGAUAGAUUGAAAAAAAAAAGAAAAAAGGGUGGCGAAGGGACGCGAGGGGAAAGGAGAGAGAAUAUAUAUUGUAAGUGAUAAAAAGAGCACUCGAAGGCGAGUGCAAGCGAGGCUGCAUACGCUACGCAGGAUCAAAGUGAAGUGGCCGGUUCUCAGUGAGAUGGCCUUCAUGAUGAAGAAGAAGAAGAAGUACGAAUUCUCGGUUGAGGUCGACCUCGAGGAACUCACCGCCGUGCCCUUCGUUAGUGCAGUGCUCUUCGCUAAACUCCGUUUACUCCAUGGGGGUUCUUUCGUUGGUCACUCCACUAGAUAGAGGUACAGUAAAGAGGA